GACGAACGCUGGCGGCGUGCUUAACACAUGCAAGUCGAACGGAAAGGCCCUGCUUUUGUGGGGUUCUCGAGUGGCGAACGGGGGAGUGACACGUGUGGAACCUCCCCUUGACUGUGUGAGAACUUCAGGAAACUGGGGCUAAUACCGGAUAUAAGCUCCUGCUGCAUGUGGUGGGUUGGAAAGUUUCGGCGUUGGUGGAUGGACUCGCAGCUUAUCAGCUUGUUGGGGGGGUAGUGGCUUACCAAGGCUUUGACGGGUAGACGGCCUGAGAGGGUGACCGGCCACCUUGCGACUGCGGUACGGACCAGACUCGUACGGGCGGCAGCAGUGGAGAAUAUUGCACAACGGGCCGAAGCCUGAUGUAGCAACGCUGCGAGCGGGAUGACCGCCUUCGGGUUGAAAACAGAUUUCGCCUGUGCCGAACAGUGAGUGACGGUAAUGAGUAAAGAAGCCACGGCUAACUACGUG
rnacentral:rRNA from 1 species